UUUGAACAUGAGGCCCUCUUGUGCUUCUCAGUGAUCUAGAAGAGGACACUUAACCAGAAUUAUCACCAUCUGUUCAGCUGAUAGGCCUGUCAUGGGCCGAUUAUUACUCUUGAUGAGGAAACUCUACACCAGGAGACUACAUGAAUUAUUCUAGAUUACACAUCAUGUAAUCCCAGAUACCUGCACUUCAGUUUUUCCCAGACUUUACCAUUGUGAUAUGAACCCACUUGCAACAACUUCACAGCAGAAUCACUGAUCCAUUUAAGUACCUCUCUAACAUGGUAACUGGCUUUAUAAACAUCAGAAGCAGAGAUAAUAUGUCAACAAGAAGGAAGAUACAAUUAUUUAAAAUAUAAUAAUGAAGGUAACCUCUCACCAUUUUUGUUGUAAUCUAUGAGAAGAAAAUCACUAGACCAGUGCACAAUCACUUAUAAAAUAGCGAACAAAGGUAUGAAUGCUAGGAGUUGGGAUUAUUGGAAACGUAGCUAUUUCACAUCACAUCUUCCUAACGUCUCACCAGUUCUCCAACCUUUACUGUAAUCAUGCCAAACUGCAAAUUAACAUCACAA